GGCAUAGCCUGCUGCUCCUCCCCUUGCCUCUGUUUUCAGGGUAAGGAGCCAACCUCACCGAUAUGGAAUGGCCAGCGUCUAUAAGGAAAGGGAAUUUUGGUGGCUGUUCCUGUGCCUAAAAUGUAGCCAUCUCUUCCAGCUCCUCCACAGCCCUUUAAUGAGAGUGCCCCGUAGGCUGCUGGGCCCCUGUGGGCAGGGUUCACGUGCAGGGCUUAAAGACUUCAUUAGCAGACAGUAACCCGCACCUGUCCAGCCCAGGAGCGCCAUUUCCCACUUCCAGGGCCUGAGCAAGAAACGCCGACCUGAGCUCCUGAGAGUGGAUUUUUCUUCUCCUUUCUGACCCAAGACAGAGAGGUGAUUUCACGGCAGAUGGCUCCACACUGGAGCGCUCAGCAUCGAACUCUGCUCCUGCAGCAGUUGGACGGCACAGACCUGCCCGGGAGCUUUGGUCAGACAGGCCCAGCCCAUGGAGAUAUUCUGGGCCCUGAGCACACAUUUUAGAACAAAGGAGAGGAGCGUGGGAGGAUGGCCUUCCUCGCAAGCCUGAAGGAUAGCGGGAAAUGCACGUAAGCAGAGAUGUGUGAGCACAGGAGACCCCAGCAAUACGUCUCGGCCAGUUGGAGCUGUCUCACAUGCUCAAGGCUCUCAAGGUGCCCCAUGAAUGCAGAAUUCCAGGGGACCCAUGAUGCAUGGGAAUCCAGUGAGACCCAGCCUCAACACAAGAUCCCAUGGGCAAGGGAGCCAGUGAUAGUCUCAGUGGGAGACGAGGCCACUGAGAUGCAGAGACAGGGGAAUUUGGAACCCAGCAAGAUCUAAGGAAACCCCAGCUCUUUGCUGCACCUCCUGGGCCCCGCCUCAGGGUCUGCAGCUUGGCACCAGGCCCCUCCCACAUGACUCAAAAAGAACCCGUGGGCCACGACUUCCACAAUUUGUGUGUGCUGAU
ensembl:lncRNA